GGGUCCCUGUGCCGCUGACGUCCCGAGCAGUGCUGGGAAGUAUAGGCUGUGUUGUCACGCCGGUGUCAGUCUGAUGAAGAUUGGCAUCAGGUGAAGCCUGGAACAAGACUUUAAAGGGUUUCUGGUCCUCCAUGCUGCUCACU